rnacentral:rRNA from 1 species
GUCGAACGGCAGCACGGGAGCUUGCUCCUGGUGGCGAGUGGCGAACGGGUGAGUAAUGCGUCGGAACGUACCGAGUAAUGGGGGAUAACGCAGCGAAAGCUGUGCUAAUACCGCAUACGCCCCGAGGGGGAAAGCAGGGGAUCGCAAGACCUUGCGUUAUUCGAGCGGCCGACGUCUGAUUAGCUAGUUGGUGGGGUAAAGGCCUACCAAGGCGACGAUCAGUAGCGGGUCUGAGAGGAUGAUCCGCCACACUGGAACUGAGACACGGUCCAGACUCCUACGGGAGGCAGCAGUGGGGAAUUUUGGACAAUGGGGGGAACCCUGAUCCAGCCAUUCCGCGUGAGUGAAGAAGGCCUUCGGGUUGUAAAGCUCUUUCAGCUGGAAAGAAACGGUGCGCUCUAACAUAGCGUGCUAAUGACGGUACCAGCAGAAGAAGCACCGGCUAACUACGUGCCAGCAGCCGCGGUAAUACGUAGGGUGCGAGCGUUAAUCGGAAUUACUGGGCGUAAAGCGUGCGCAGGCGGAUUGUUAAGCAAGAUGUGAAAUCCCCGGGCUUAACCUGGGAAUGGCAUUUUGAACUGGCAGUCUAGAGUGUGUCAGAGGGGGGGUGGAAUUCCACGUGUAGCAGUGAAAUGCGUAGAUAUGUGGAGGAACACCAAUGGCGAAGGCAGCCCCCUGGGAUAACACUGACGCUCAUGUACGAAAGCGUGGGUAG